CUUAGCAACCAUAUCACCCUGCAGCCCAAGACUGGUUGCCCACUGAAGCUAAGCAGGGUUGAGCCUGGUCAGUACCUGGAUGGGAGACCUCCUGGGAAAACUAGGUUGCUGCUAGAA
rnacentral:rRNA from 1 species